rnacentral:rRNA from 1 species
AGAGUUUGAUCAUGGCUCAGAACGAACGCUGGCGGCAGGCCUCAAACAUGCAAGUCUAGGGGGCGUAGCAAUACGUCACCGGCGGACGGGUGCGUAACACGUGGGAAUGUACUUAUUGGUUCGGAACAACUCAGGGAAACUUGAGCUAAUACCGAAUGUGCCCGAAAGGGGAAAGAUUUAUCGCCAAUAAAUCAGCCCGCGUCCGAUUAGCUAGUUGGUGGGGUAAAGGCCCACCAAGGCGACGAUCGGUAGCUGUUCUGAGAGGAAGAUCAGCCACACUGGGACUGAGACACGGCCCAGACUCCUACGGGAGGCAGCAGUUGGGAAUCUUGGACAAUGGGGGAAACCCUGAUCCAGCCAUGCCGCGUGAGUGAUGAAGGCCUUCGGGUUGUAAAACUCUUUCGACGGGGACGAUAAUGACGGUACCCGUAGAAGAAGCUCCGGCUAACUUCGUGCCAGCAGCCGCGGUAAUACGAAGGGGGCUAGCGUUGUUCGGAAUUACUGGGCGUAAAGCGUGCGCAGGCGGUCUUCCAAGUCAGUGGUGAAAGCCCGGAGCUCAACUCCGGAACUGCCAUUGAAACUGUGAGACUCGAGUACGAGAGAGGUGAGUGGAAUUCCCAGUGUAGAGGUGAAAUUCGUAGAUAUUGGGAAGAACACCGGUGGCGAAGGCGGCUCACUGGCUCGUAACUGACGCUCAGGCACGACAGCGUGGGGAUCAAACAGGAUUAGAUACCCUAGUAGUCC